rnacentral:rRNA from 1 species
AUGAACCGGUAUGGUAUGCCAUUCAUACCCUUUGUUGGUCUUAACAAUCACCGGAAGACCACUGUUUUUGCUUGUGCCAUAGUUUCGGACGAGACCGAAGAGACAUAUGUGUGGCUGCUGGAGACUUUUUUUAGGUCCAUGUGUCAAAAGAUGCUGAAGAGUGUUAUCAUGGACACCGACGCUGCGAUGAUCAAGGCAAUUCACCAAGUCUUGCCAGACGUGUGGCACCGCAUAUGUACGUGGCACAUAGAAAAAAAUAUGAAGAUUCACCUCAGUCACAAGUCCUUGAAGGAGUUCCGAACUCUUCUG